rnacentral:rRNA from 1 species
GUGGGGAAUUUUGGACAAUGGGCGCAAGCCUGAUCCAGCCAUGCCGCGUGCAGGAUGAAGGCCUUCGGGUUGUAAACUGCUUUUGUACGGAACGAAACGGUCCUGGUUAAUACCUGGGGCUAAUGACGGUACCGUAAGAAUAAGCACCGGCUAACUACGUGCCAGCAGCCGCGGUAAUACGUAGGGUGCGAGCGUUAAUCGGAAUUACUGGGCGUAAAGCGUGCGCAGGCGGUGCUGUAAGACAGGCGUGAAAUCCCCGGGCGCAACCUGGGAAUUGCGCUUGUGACUGCAGUGCUGGAGUACGGCAGAGGGGGAUGGAAUUCCGCGUGUAGCAGUGAAAUGCGUAGAUAUGCGGAGGAACACCGAUGGCGAAGGCAGUCCCCUGGGCCUGUACUGACGCUCAUGCACGAAAGCGUGGGGAGCAAACAGGAUUAGAUACCCGAGUAGUCC